GGAUGUGAGGGCGAUCUGGCUGCGACAUCUGUCACCCCAUUGAUCGCCAGGGUUGAUUCGGCUGAUCUGGCUGGCUAGGCAGGUGUCCCCUUCCUCCCUCACCGCUCCAUGUGCGUCCCUCCCGAAGCUGCGCGCUCGGUGGAAGAGGACGACCAUCCCAGAUAGAAGGAGUGUACCGUUCUUCGGUCAAGGGUAUACGAUAGCUGCGCUCCCCUGCUAGAACCUCCAAACAAUAUAGCUAUUUCGUCAUGCAAUCUGAUAAUGUACCCCCAUAACCCUUUGCUAGGGCCAGCCCACCCAUAAG